UUGCCUUUCUCCUAACUCAUGUGCAACACUUUCUGGUUCCAUUCAAUGUCCAUCAACUGCAUUAAUAUCUUCUGAUAAACUCUUGAAGUGAUGAUGAAAAUUAGAAUUUCUGCUGUUAGUGUAGUCUUACUAUUAUUAACAUUUCUUUCUCUUGAUAUUUUCCAAUAUUUUUUGGGACCUUUAUUAUUGUUUUAUUUUAACUUAGUCACCAAGCUUUCCUUCUCUUUACUCUGCACUCUUUUCUAAUCAGUCUUAUAUUUCUUACUUUUUUCUGUCAUGACUAUAAUUUUCUUCACUCCUUCUUCGAUUAUAUUUACGUCUAGCCUUAUAGUAGGCUUUCCUUGUUUUCCAGCAUUGAUUGUCACACACAAAUAGGCUUACAUUAUUACUUUGUUUAACAAAAUUUUUCCUUUUUUUGGGUGUGAAUACCUUUAUAGGUGGUUCUGACAAUGUGUUCUUUAACCAAGAAUUCACCUCUUCAGCAGACAUAAAAUCCCUCUGCUCUAUUAACUCCUUUACCUCACCUUCAUUAAUUUCUGCUUUAUAAUCAUCUUCCUUUGUUGCACUCCAUUUCCCUGUUAAGCUACAAUUAUUCACAGGUAUAUUACUUCCAUCAUUAUUUCUUUUCUUUUCAAUAUUAACUUUUAGUUGUACAUGUGUACCACAAUGAAUAUCUGAGUACAGCGGAUCAAAAUCUAGUAUUCUAAAUUCCUGUUCAUUUUUCUGAACAGUGUUGGUGAGCCAGUGACAUAAUUCCACCAGUGUAGCAUAAGUAGUUGUGGGUUUCCCCACUCUAAGCUCUUCAUCUAGUCUACCAUUAAAUAUACACACAUCAUUAUUACUACAAAUUGUCACCAGGUCAAAGUCCAGAUUCGUCUUCCUCUGGGUCAUCGAUGGACCUAAAACCUGUUAAAACAAUAAGGGUAAAGCGCGUGAAGCAUAUAACACGUGGUAACAGGAAAGAGAAACUACGCCGUGUCACUCGCCACCGCCUCAACCAUUGCGGACCCUGUUAUUGCAACCACCACCACAGAUACGCCUGAUCCUACUGCUGCCACAGCCUCUUUAUCAUUGAAACACAAAAAGCAACCACCCAGCAUUUCCUCAGGUGUUCUUGGAAAGAAAAGGAGUGUGCAAAGUGGACAAGGAAGGAGGCGUAUAAAAAAAAGGUAACAGGCUCCCUCGACACAACCACCACCACCACCAGCUCUGGUGUCACCACCUCCACCGUCGUUACGUAUUUAGUUUCUUGUUUGGAAUAUUUUUUUCCCAUAGAGGAACUGUAAAAUGAAGUAGGUGUAAGAAAAUGCAGUAAAGUUACUGGUUUUUUGCUUCUUGUUGAGGAAGAACUUUUUCUAGAAAAGAAACGCUUAAAGGGUUAAUGUUAGUGCAGCAGGAUUAGCACAUUAUUUCAGGCAUUACAGCACAUCAGCAUUAGCACAGCAUCACAAUUCUGUAACAACAUUAUUUUAGGCAUGACAACAUCACAAGCAGAACAACAUUACAUACAAACGCAAAACAGCAUCACAUAACAGUGAUAAUAAGAUUAAGAUGCUGUGAUGCUGAGGGUCAGAUUAUGAUGUUGUGCUGUUAGGUCUAAGAUAAUAAUGAUGUGAUGUCUAAGAUACCCUGUGAUGCUGUUAGAUCUAAGAUAAUGAGGCUGUAAUGCUGUUAUGUCUAAGAUAAAGAUGAUGUGAUUCUGUUGUCUAAGAAUAACACAACAGCAACACAGCAUCACCACCAGUACCCAGGCAUCAUCACCACACACAUCAGUUUCCCCACAAACCUCACCAUCAGACACACACAACCACCACCAGUACCCAGGCAUCACCAUGCAGCGUCACACUCAAAACAGCAGCAUCACAUUUGAACAGCCCAUGGUGAGGAAUUAAAGCAAGAGGGAAUAUUGCGUAAUAAUUUGCAACAGGAACCGAAUUCUUGAGUAAUGAAAGAUGAGGCUACAAGAAGAAGCAGAGGAAAUUCCGAAAUGGACGUCGGUGUGUGUUUUUCCAUCUUAUUUCACCAUUUUAUCCUCAGGAAAUCUCUGCUGGGGAGACUGGUCACUUGAUAGCAACAAGAACUGACGUCAGUUGACCAAGACACCACUAGGAAUUGACAUUAGCUGACCAAGACAGGACCAGAAAUUGACACCCACUUGCCACAAUAUCAUUAUUUCUCCCAGCUGUGAAGAACAUGCGAGCACUUGGGAGUUGCUUCCAUCAUGGGAGUGUCCCUCAAGAGUAGGAGCCACCCCUCUCACUGACCUGAGUCACCUGACCCUAUCAGCUCCAACACCUACCCAAUCAGCAGUGCAGCAUGGGUCACCUACAGGGUUGGCUGUGGUGUGUCCCUCAUUGUGUACACAUCAUACUCUGCCACACUGGUCUCACACCUGGCAGUGGAGCAGUCUGUGA